rnacentral:lncRNA from 1 species
GAUAAAGGCAAAAAUGAAAAAAAGAAAGACCUGCAAAAUGGCGCUUGUGACCAAGAUAAAGAUACCAUAUGACUAAUCUUUUUGGAAUGGGAAAUCGAAGACCAGAUAGAAUUAAAUGCCUUUGACACUAUCACCCAAGAGACCAGUGCUUCACUACUGAUGAGAUGGUCAUGCAGGCAAUAGUGGUGCAUUCCUAUGACUGGGAAGACAAAGACGUAGCUGUAUUUUCACAUGUCCAUGGUCACGGCCAUCAUUUUUCACCAAAGCAAAUGAAGAUUUAAAUUCUGAGGCUUGUGGGGUUGCACUUGUCUUUCAUUAUGGCUGGUGUGCUGUGCACCCGUGCAAUCUGUCUUUCUUUUAAAGACGUGCAGUCCAUCACAAAGCAAUGGUGCUAAUGAGCCUUCUAAAAAACCAGGAUCACAC